CUGGAAGACACAGUAUUCUGGACAUAGAAUUAAAGCGAGAAAAGAAGAUCAGGGAUAACAUAAACUCUUCGUGAAUAUGGCCACUGCAGAUGAUGAAUAUGGCCACAACAGAUGAUGAUCAUUAGUUUGACCAGAUGAUUUAAGAUUUUCUUAGCAUCCAAACGGAGACGGAAUGUUCCUUAUCCGACAGUGAAACCAGAUGUGUAUAUUCAUGGUGGACUUCUCAUCCUCGGUGUCUUGUUCAUGUUGUGGUUGUGACCUGCAGAAUGCGCUUUUUCAUAUGCUUUGUGUUGCAGUGGUGGCUGAUUGAUCUGAUCCCUCCAGUAAUAUCAGAGAUAGUUUGGAGGCAUUGUACAAAAAUUUUUUUUGUCACUUGCUAUAAAUGGUGAGAAAUAAUUUGAGAUACUCUAGCUAGCCAUAGGUUUGGAAUUAUAAGGUUAUUGCAAAAUUAAUUGUCUUCCUUCAACAUUCUCAUGUACUUUUUUCAACUCUAAAAGGAUUAUUGUUUAUGCUCAUGUCAUUGUUGUUCAGAUUAUUUUAAAUGAAAGUAGAUAUAUAUAGUAA